rnacentral:rRNA from 1 species
GACGUAGGGCGCGAGCGUUGUCCGGAUUUAUUGGGCGUAAAGAGCUCGUAGGCGGUUGGGUAAGUCGGGUGUGAAAACUCCAGGCUCAACUUGGAGAUGCCACCCGAUACUGCUCUGACUUGAGUUCGGUAGGGGAGUGGGGAAUUCCUGGUGUAGCGGUGAAAUGCGCAGAUAUCAGGAGGAACACCGGUGGCGAAGGCGGCCUUCUGGACGGAUACUGACGCUGAGGCGCGAAAGCCAGGGGAGCAAACGGG